rnacentral:rRNA from 1 species
AGUGAACGCUGGCGGCGUGCUUAACACAUGCAAGUCGAACGAGAACGGGUUAUAGCUUGCUAUAAUUGUCAGCUAAGUGGCGCACGGGUGAGUAAUGUAUAGGUAAUAUGCCUCUUACUAAGGGAUAACAAAUGGAAACGUUUGCUAAUACCUUAUACUCCUUAUUAACAUUAGUUAAUAAGGGAAAGAUUUAUUGGUAAGAGAUUAGCCUGUAUUGUAUCAGUUAGUUGGUGGGGUAAUGGCUUACCAAGACUAUGACACAUAACUGGUUUGAGAGGAUGAUCAGUCACACUGGAACUGUGACACGGUCCAGACUCCUACGGUAGGCAGCAGUGGGGAAUAUUGCACAAUGGACGAAAGUCUGAUGCAGCAACGCCGCGUGGAGGAUGACACAUUUCGGUGCGUAAACUCCUUUUAUAUGAGAAGAUAAUGACGGUAUUAUAUGAAUAAGCACCGGCUAACUCCGUGCCAGCCGCCGCGGUAA